ACGCUCGACACCUACGGGAGGUAGCAGUGGGGAAUAUUGCACAAUGGGGGAAACCCGUGAUGCAGCGACGCCGCGUGAAGGAAGAAGUAUUUCGGUAUGUAAACUUCUAUCAGCAGGGAAGAAGAUGACGGUACCUGACUAAGAAGCCCCGGCUAACUACGUGCCAGUAGCCGCGGUAAUCUGAGCGGGCUGGCAAGGC
rnacentral:rRNA from 1 species